rnacentral:rRNA from 1 species
AGAGUUUGAUCCUGGCUCAGGAUGAACGCUAGCGGCAGGCUUAACACAUGCAAGUCGAGGGGCAGCACGGGUAGCAAUACCUGGUGGCGACCGGCGCAAGGGGGCGUAACGCGUAUGUAAUCUACCAUUAACCGGGGAAUAGCCCAGAGAAAUCUGGAUUAAUAUCUCAUAGUUCUAUUAGAUCGCAUGAUUUGAUAGAUAAAGCUCCGGCGGUUACAGAUGGGCAUGCGUGACAUUAGCUAGUUGGUAAGGUAACGGCUUACCAUGGCUACGAUGUCUAGGGGUUCUGAGAGGAAGGUCCCCCACACUGGAACUGAGACACGGUCCAGACUCCUACGGGAGGCAGCAGUGAGGAAUAUUGGACAAUGGAUGGAAAUCUGAUCCAGCCAUGCCGCGUGAAGGAAGAAUGUCCUAUGGAUUGUAAACUUCUUUUGUAUGGGAGCAAUAAGGUCUUCGUGAAGACUGAUGAGAGUACCAUACGAAUAAGCAUCGGCUAACUCCGUGCCAGCAGCCGCGGUAAUACGGAGGAUGCGAGCGUUAUCCGGAUUUAUUGGGUUUAAAGGGUGCGUAGGCUGUUAUAUAAGUCAGUGGUGAAAGCCUGCAGCUUAACUGCAGAACUGCCAUUGAUACUGCCAGUCUGGAGUAUGGUUGAGGUAGCUGGAAUGUGUCAUGUAGCGGUGAAAUGCUUAGAGAUCACACAGAAUAUCGAUUGCGAAGGCAGCUCACAAAGCCAUUAUUGACGCUGAGGCACGAAAGUGUGGGGAUCAAACAGGAUUAGAUACCCUGGUAGUCCACACUGUAAACGAUGAUAACUAGCUGUCGGCGAUACACAGUCGGUGGCCAAGCGAAAGCGAUAAGUUAUCCACCUGGGGAGUACGACCGCAAGGUUGAAACUCAAAGGAAUUGACGGGGGCCCGCACAAGCGGAGGAACAUGUGGUUUAAUUCGAUGAUACGCGAGGAACCUUACCUGGGCUUAAAUGUAGAGCGACAGAUUGUGAAAGCAGUCCUUCUUCGGACGAUCUACAAGGUGCUGCAUGGUUGUCGUCAGCUCGUGCCGUGAGGUGUCGGCUUAAGUGCCAUAACGAGCGCAACCCUUGUCGUUAGUUGCCAUCAAGUAAUGUUGGGGACUCUAGCGAGACUGCCACCGUAAGGUGUGAGGAAGGGGGGGAUGACGUCAAAUCAGCACGGCCCUUACGUCCGGGGCGACACACGUGUUACAAUGGUAGGUACAGAGGGGCGCUAUCCAGCGAUGGAGUGCGAAUCUCAAAAACCUAUCUCAGUUCGGAUCGGAGUCUGCAACUCGACUCCGUGAAGUUGGAUUCGCUAGUAAUCGCGCAUCAGCCAUGGCGCGGUGAAUACGUUCCCGGGCCUUGUACACACCGCCCGUCAAGCCAUGGAAGCUGGGGGUGCCUGAAGUUCGUGACCGCAAGGAGCGACCUAGGGCAAAACUAGUAACUGGGGCUAAGUCGUAACAAGGUAACCU